rnacentral:snoRNA from 1 species
GGGAAAUGAGGAAAAUAAUGGAAAGUCUGAUUGUUACAUGGAGACCUCAGAUCCAACUCUGAUCCAGCUGACUG